UGUGAGGCCCAACUUAGUGUUUUGCUCUUGGCCGAACGUAAGAAAUAAUCUUACCUGUAUACACACACAGGCAUGUGAGGCACAUGCAAAAGCCACAGAGAAACUAGGGUUCAAGAUUUUGGAGCUCAUAGCUCUAAGCUUGGGACUUUCUGUGAAGAAAUUCCACCCCUUGUUUGAGAACCAUGGCAGUUACAUUCACCACAACCAUUAUCCUCAAUGCCCCAGCCCAGAGCUGGCAUUGGGCAAAGGAUCACACACAGACCUCUCUGCCAUUUCAGUCCACAUCGAGGAUGAUGCUGGUGGCUUCGAGAUCAAACGGAAUAAUGGAAAUUGAGUUAAGGUGAAACCCCUUUCAGGUGCGUACGUCAUCAACACUGGAGAUGCCAUGAGGGUUUUUUCUAAUGACCGAAUCGAGAGUGUAAUACACAAAGUCUUGGUAAGUGGGGAGGACAGGUAUUCCGCAGUUCUCGCAAUCGAACCGGCUCGCAAUGUGAUCAUUGAGCCUUUAGAGGAGUUUGUGAAUGAGGAGAACCCUCCCAAGUACAAGGCUUUUAUGUGGGAGAAACUGUCAACCUCUCGAAAGCUGAGUGAAUUUGUGAAGUCGGAUGUGGAAACUAUGAAGGCAUAAGCCCGUUCUCUUUGAGCCCUCAAUCCCUCUGUUUGAAUAUGUGCACACGUAUAUCUCAUUGUCUGUCUUUUGCUCUAUGUCUUAUUAAGGUCAUUUUGGUUGGGCAUGAUUUUGGAGGUGCUUGUAUAUCAUAUGCUAUGGAGGCUUUUCCACAAAAAGUUGCAAAGGCUGUUUUUGUUGCUGCAGCAAUGUAGACAAGUGGACAGAGUGCACUUGAUUUGUUCUCUCAACAGGUAUGCCUUACAAUCUGUGUAUCUCUGGCCAUGAUGAAAUGCAUUUGGUAUGCAUGCAUGAUAUAUACAUGGUGGUUGAUCUUGUGAUCUUGGAAGCUAUCCCUAUCGUAUUCCAAUAGUUUCUGUGAAGCUAUAGUACGUGCUGUUAUUUGCUUUUUGAUUAUCUGUAUGUCGCUAAACAAGGAAAUGAUAAAACCAGGCAUCUAUCAUGUGUUUCCUAUCAACCUUGGCAUCUAUCAUGUGUUUCCUCUCAAUAAAACAACUGUUACGCUUUCUCCAAAUUUCAAAAAAAAAACAAAGGUGACCUUCUGACAUCAUGCCGAAGAUGAUUGGAAGAAAUUUGUUAUUUAAGAUUCAUUGGUUGGUAGAGAAUGUUUCUUAUCUUUGUGAAUUUUGGUCACAAAGGCUAUAGAGCCCAUUAUCUCCCCUUCUAUGGAUACUUUCAUUGGGGCCAGGCUACUUUUUCUUGGGGCCCUAAUUUCUGAAUGAGCUCGUGGUAUUUAGAGACAUAGAAGGGGAGAGUGGAGUUGUUGUAUAGAUAUUGGAAAAUAUUUGUGACCAUUUGUAUUGGGCAUUGUUCGACUUGUUGUUGCCUAUGAUCCAAGCAAACUUCUAUAUGCUUAAUAAUAUACCUGUCUUGCAUCAUGUCAACACUGAUACUGGUACCAGAUACUCCUAGGAUAAUUGUCAAUAAAAAAUGGCAUAACUAUAUAAAAAUAAAUUAUAAUUUUAUGAAUUAUGGUAUCUUAUAUAAACGUAUCAAUGUGUUGCGUGCUUAUAUUGAUGUAGUGCAGUUUGGAUUGACCAAUGUCACCAACUAAAACCCAUUAUAUUUAGAUUUACUUAUGAAUAGUUUCACAUUGCUUAGUACUGAAUGUAAGUAGUGCUCAAGUUAUUACGGGUUAUUGUUGAAUGGGCUGAUUUCUUACUGCUUGUAUUGUGCAUGUGUGUUUGAAUGGGCUGAUUUCUUAGUUCUUGCAUUUUUAAUUAUGUAUGUUUAAACUAUUACAGGUUAUUGUUUAAACUUAAUUAAAUUGAGGUUGUGCUUGACAUUGUCUAUAGAUUGCUUUAAUUUUUAGGUGCAAUGAAGUUUAUCAUGGAACAUUUGUGUCAAUUGGUGUACAAAUGUAUCUCUCUCUAGGACGCUUCUCUCACUCAUCAAUAAAAGUCUCUCAUAAC